AACGCACGAGACCUGCGGACCUGCGGAGGGAUCAUUACCACGCGAUCCAAAUCCACAUCCCAUUAACAACGUGUAACUUGGUCGUUUGCUCAACACGGUAACGUGAAGAGCCACCUCCAUUUUAAAUCACUUUUGUUAACAACCUAACAUCUGAACAAAUAGCCACUGGGCGUAAGCCCGGGCAAGAUAGCUAAUUGCUUACAACUUUUAACAAUGGAUCUCUAGAUCGGAAGAGCACAC
rnacentral:misc_RNA from 1 species